rnacentral:rRNA from 1 species
AUUCCAGCUCCAAUAGCGUAUAUUCAAGUUGUUGCAGUUAAAAAGCUCGUAGUUGAAUUUCUAGAGCGAGUGCUUGGUUCACCCUCACGGGUCGACACUGCGCCCUCGCUCUACUUCUCAUGGCAAACUCUUGUGCUAUUAGUUUAGUGCGAUUGGGAACCAUGACUGUUACUGUGAAAAAAUUAGAGUGUUUAAAACAGACGGUAGUCUGAAUAUAUUAGCAUGGAAUAACGGAAUAGGACCAGUCGUCUAUUUUGUUGGUUUUAGAUAAUUGGUAAUGAUGAAUAGGGACAGUUGGGGGCAUUAGUAUUUCGUUGUCAGAGGUGAAAUUCUUGGAUUUACGAAAGACCAACUUCUGCGAAAGCAUUUGCCAAGGAUGUUUUCAUCA